UACGUAGGGUCCGAGCGUUGUCCGGAAUUAUUGGGCGUAAAGGGCUCGUAGGCGGUUAGUCGCGUCGGGAGUGAAAACUCAGGGCUCAACCCUGAGCGUGCUUCCGAUACGGGCUGACUAGAGGUAUGCAGGGGAGAACGGAAUUCCUGGUGUAGCGGUGGAAUGCGCAGAUAUCAGGAGGAACACCGGUGGCGAAGGCGGUUCUCUGGGCAUUACCUGACGCUGAGGAGCGAAAGCAUGGGGGAGCGAACAGG
rnacentral:rRNA from 1 species